GCUUACAGUAUAGACGCACAGGCACGUACUUGUACAACAUUCCCCAUUCACGGAAAUUUCGAGGAUCAGGAGAAUAUCUGUGUUCCACGCGACGCUUUGAACACCGGCAAUUUCUUCUAUGGCUACAAUCGGGCGUCAGUGCAUACAUUGUCAUACGAGUACAACACCACCACCGUCGACGGAAGGCAACAGAGUGUGGUGACCACCGUCACGAAGGACGACUGCAUACCAGUAGUCAUCACAAGGAGCUCAACAGACAGCGCAGGAGGAAACUCUCUUUACGUUCUCGGGUACAACAACUUCUAUCCAGGCAUCCAGGACGCCAGUAUUUUGGACAUUCCAUCAUACUGUCGGUUCUGAUACCACCAUUCCUGAAAAGAAACACCAGGAUCCGUCGUACCCCAAUCUCUGUGAAUAUGUUUCCUCUGAACAACUUCGUG